ensembl:rRNA 5S_rRNA 5S ribosomal RNA
GCCUACGACCAUCUCACCCUGAAUGCGCCCGAUCUCGUCUGAUCUCAGAAGCUAAGCAGAGUCGAGCCUGGUUAAUACUUGGAUGGGAGACUGCCUGGGAAUACCAGGUGUUGUAGGCU